CCACCCCCGCUCGGCCUCCCAAAGUGGUGGGACGACAGAUGUGAGCCCCCGCGUCUGGCCAACACGUGGUAAUCUGAAGGGACCACCACAGUAUAUGCGGCCCGCCUUCCACCGAAACGUCACGAGGCCCGCGACUCAAAGGCGUGCUCCAUUGUUACCGAUAGCCCCAAACUCGCCCUUCCACGCCAGGCCUCGAGGUGCUCUGUGGACCACGGCGGGGCCCGUGGCCCUCGCGAGGGAGGGAAGGCGCUCCAGGUUCCCGCGAUUCCCCCGGAAAGUGAAACUGCAGAGGCGCCACGUGGACACCGGCGGUCAGACGCGACCCCAGGCCGCACCGGCCCCAAAGGAAACUAGCGGGAGUCCAUGGGGCGGGAGCGCGAGUCCGCGGUGGUGGCUGGGCGCUCAGUGAAGACGCCAUUCCGCCACGAAAAUGCCCGCGACGCCGCUCCGCGGUGGCGCGAGGCGGGCUGGCCGGACCUGCGAAGCCCCUCGAGCUCGGCGCCGGCUGGCUGCGGCCUUGCUCUGCCUCCCCGGCCUGGCCGCGAGGCUCCCGAAAGCCGGGAUCCGCGAGCACUGGGGCCGACCCGACUCUCUCGGGCCUCAGACGGCGUGGGCCGUGGAGAACUCCGGUGCGGCCUCUUUCCCGGAAGUCCCCCAGUGGGCUCCGGCCGCUCUGGCCCGCGCGCGCCCGGCUCGCUGGUGCCCUGGGCGGCGCCCGGCCGCUGGCGCUUCUCCGGCGCUAGGGGGCGCGCGGCCGCGGUGGAGCCGCACUGGGCCGCGGCGGCCGCUCGACUGCUCUGAGGCGCGGUCCGGACGCGCACCGCCCCCGCCCGCGUUCCCCCGGCAACCUGCGGCCGCCGCCAUGGACGCGCUGUUGGGCACAGGGCCUCGCCGGGCUCGCGGCUGCCUGGGCGCGGCUGGACCCAGGUCUUCAGGCCGCGCGGCGCGGACCCCGGCGGCGCCCUGGGCGCGCUUCUCCGCCUGGCUGGAGUGCGUGUGCGUGGUCACCUUCGACCUGGAGCUGGGCCAGGCGCUGGAGCUGGUGUAUCCAAAUGACUUCCGGCUCACAGACAAGGAGAAAAGCAGCAUCUGCUACCUGUCUUUUCCCGACUCACACUCAGGCUGCCUCGGAGACACUCAGUUCAGCUUCCGCAUGCGCCAGUGUGGAGGGCAGAGGAGCCCCUGGCAUGCUGACGAUAGGCACUACAACAGCAGGGCCCCCAUGGCACUGCAGAGGGAGCCGGCGCACUACUUCGGCUAUGUGUACUUCAGACAGGUGAAGGACCGCUCCGUGAAGAGGGGCUACUUCCAGAAGUCUUUGGUGCUGGUGUCCCGCCUGCCCUUUGUCCGGCUGUUCCAGGCACUGCUAAGCCUCAUCGCCCCUGAGUACUUUGACAAGCUGGCGCCCUGCCUGGAAGCAGUGUGCAGUGAGAUCGACCAGUGGCCGGCGCCUGCACCUGGGCAGACCCUGAACCUACCUGUCAUGGGCGUUGUUGUCCAGGUGCGCAUCCCAUCCAGGGUGGACAAGUCCGAGUCCAGUCCUCCAAAGCAGUGUGAUCAAGAGAACCUGCUUCCAGCCCCAAUGGUUCUUGCUAGCGUCCAUGAGCUGGACCUGUUCAGGUGCUUCCGGCCUGUGCUGACUCACGUGCAGACACUGUGGGAGCUUGUGCUCCUCGGGGAGCCCCUGCUGGUCCUGGCACCCUCGCCCGACGUGUCCUCAGAGAUGGUGCUGGCCUUGACCAGCUGCCUGCAGCCCCUCAGGUUCUGCUGCGACUUCCGUCCCUACUUCACCAUCCAUGACAGCGAGUUCAAGGAGUUCACCACACGCACGCAGGCCCCCACUGGCCCCACAUCCUCCGAGUCGGGGAGCCCAAGAUGUCAGGAGACCUUCCUAAGCAAGUCAAGCUGAAAAAGCCUUCAAGGUUGAAGACCCUGGACACUAAGCCAGGCCUCUACACCGCAUACACAGCCCACCUCCACCGAGACAAGGCACUGCUUAAACGGCUGCUCAAGGGCGUGCAGAAGAAGCGGCCGUCAGAUGUGCAAAGCGCCCUGCUGCGGCGGCACCUCCUGGAGCUCACCCAGAGCUUCAUCAUCC